UACAGAGGGUGCGAGCGUUAAUCGGAAUUACUGGGCGUAAAGCGCACGUAGUCGGCUUUGCAAGUCGGGUGUGAAAUCCCCGGGCUUAACCUGGGAAUGGCGAUGGUGACUGCAAGGCUAGAGUUUGGCAGAGGGGGGUAGAAUUCCACGUGUAGCAGUGAAAUGCGUAGAGAUGUGGAGGAACACCGAUGGCGAAGGCAGCCCCCUGGGUCAAAACUGACGCUCAUGCACGAAAGCGUGGGGAGCAAACAGG
rnacentral:rRNA from 1 species